UGGAAAAUGUAUGGACAUCGGUUGUGGUCCCGGAGAUAUAACGAAAAAUGUUCUCUUGCCGGCUUUAAAUCCAAAUGCGGUAAUAAUAGGUACCGAUAUUUCGAAGGAUAUGAUCGAGUUUGCGAAGAAAACAUACGAUUUGAUCAUAUACUCUCAUUUAACGCUUUAAAUUGGUGUUAUGACAUUCGGUAAGUUAAAAUUAUUAAUAAUCAGGUGGAAAACUGACAGAAAAGAGCCAAGGUAUCGGCUGGUAUUGGAGUGCGAAUUUAUUAUUAUUAAAUCUUAUUAACUAAUGUGCAUUAAAAAUGUACGUUUCGGACCGUUUAAAAAAGAAAAUUUAAGUAAAUAUAAACUAGGCUUGCCCAACCUAUCAAUCGCGAUCGACCGGUCGAUCGCAGCGUGAUUUCUACCCAGUUAUUGUACAAAUAUAUAAUAUAAUAUAAGUUGAUGUGACAUUGAACUAACGUCGAAAACCAAAUGUUGAAGUGAAGUUGAAAUUCUGUUUGAAUCAAUAUCGAAAUGAUACAAAUUUUUGACGAUUCUUCGGCUAUCAUUUUGAUAUAAUUUCAACAUUGAAUCAACCACAAUUAAUUAUAUCUUAAUACUUCGCAAAUUAAAGUUGCAAAGUAUUGCAACUUUAUACAGAGUGUCUCUGAACUCAUUGUCAGUGCCAAAACUGGUACAACGGCUUUAGCACAUGAAAACAAGUCGACAAUGUUUAAUAAACAUAUGUUCGCGAAACUUCAAACAUUUUUCAAAAAGCUUGAAACAAUUUAUUAAUUCAUGCUAGAAAGUAUGUCGAAGUCGACAGAGGAAUUUUUGAGCACCUUUUGUAAAGCUUUAAACAGAAUAAGGCUGAUGGCAGAGAAUGAGAUGUUUAAGCGUUUACGGCUGUCGUAGUCGUAAAAGUAAGACAGAGAAAAACGUAAGUUGUCAUCAUGAAGGAAGAGUAAGGAGAGUUAUCUCGAUAGUGUAG